UCAUUGGUGGUCUAGUGGUUAAGACUCUGAGUUUCCAAUGCAGAGGGCCUGGGUUCAAUCCCUGGUUAGGGAA
rfam:TPA: Bos taurus chromosome 5, whole genome shotgun sequence.